UUUGUACAAGAAGCUGAGAAUGCAGAAGCAAGAAGAAUAGGAGUCGAGAGUUUGAAGAAACAGGAAUCUUAUUUCACUUGCUGAGUUAGUUACAAUGGGAAUUACCAUAUGGCUUUUUAUAGUAACUUGGAAUGUUAAUGACUAAGUAACCGAGAUUGGAACAAUGCUGCAAAAAUGGAGGACCAUGAAGCCCCAUGUAAGCACAUAUGGAGAUGUACUCCACUUGCAAGUCUCCCUUAUGCACUCUUUCAGGAACAAAGUGGAAGUCAGUAUCCAAAUGCUUGAUUCUGGUAUGGAUGUAGAUGUCUCGUCUUACUUCUUGCCGUAGGACCAUGACUACUGCACCUUCGCCGCCUCCCCCACCUGCUACUAUUGCCGUGACUGCUCCAACGCAGGUGAACUCUAUGCUUUGCCCUCCGAUUAAUUCGGUUGGUCUCGGGUCGCCUAGGCACCGACGUCAAUGACGUCUUCAGUGGCGCUUCCCCUUAGCACGUGGCGAAGUCACCGACGCCCCCUGCACCCUUGACAAGACAUCGGCAUUGGCAUCCGCAUUGGUGGCUGAGGGCUCGCGGCCAGAAGAAGGCAAAAGCCGACAAGAUCAACUAGGACAAGAAGACUUUUCUCCACCACUCGAGUUCAAGGCCCUUAUCAUAUAGGAUGGAGGCGCGACAGGGGGGUUGAAAAUUACCUAGAUCGACUUCUUUAAGGAUGUUUAUGUUCGACCCGAGGAUGAGUUGGCCAAGCAAUUGCAUGCAACGUUGGUGGAGAAAAGCCAAUCCAUUAUUUAGGUGUCCACUUCCCAGCUUUCCCCUAACACCCUGGUCGAGUCUGUUGAUCCACCCGUGGAUGCGAGGUUUCUUUUACUGACAAAGACCAUGGAUCAGACCCUCAGUCGGAGGUAGAUGAAGUAUUGCAGGGGAAUGGGGCAUGCUCGUCAGUGUGAAACUGGGCCUCUUCAUCCAUGCAGUCAAAGGGCAAGGUCACAACAUUGACACAUGAAGUGGCUAACCUGAGAAGUAAGCUUGCGCUUAUCAUAGAGGCCCUCAGCUCGUCCUGCAUCCGUCUCCCACCAGGUUUUGUUGCCCUGUCCACCUUCGAGCCCCUCAACCCAGAGCAGACCUAGCACCCCGACCAGUAGACCUCCGAGCCCCUCUAGCCGCAAGACAUCCAACAGCCCGCCAUCUAUGGCCAAAUAGAUUUUCAAUACAUAUUUCAAUAGAUUUUCAUUUUCCUACUUGCAUAAAUCUUUUGUUUUAAUUUUUUAUUUAUUUUUAUAGUUACAAUUUAAUUAUUAUUUUAAAUGAAAAACGUA